rnacentral:rRNA from 1 species
GUGUCAGCCGCCGCGGUAAAACCAGCACCUCGAGUGGUCAGGAGGUUUAUUGGGCCUAAAGCAUCCGUAGCCUGCUGUGCAAGUCUUCGGUUAAAUCCAUCUGCUCAACAGAUGGGCUGCCGGUGAUACUACAUGGCUAGGGAGUGGGAGAGGUCGAUGGUACUCGGUGGGAAGGGGUAAAAUCCUUUGAUCCAUUGAUGACCACCUGUGGCGAAGGCGGUCGACCAGAACACGUCCGACGGUGAGGGAUGAAAGCUGGGGGAGCAAACCGGAUUAGAUACCCGGGUAGUCCCAGCUGUAAACGAUGCAAACUCAGUGAUGCCUUGGCAUGUAGCCAAUGCAGUGCCGCAGGGAAGCCGUUAAGUUUGCCGCCUGGGAAGUACGUUCGCAAGAAUGAAACUUAAAGGAAUUGGCGGGGGAGCACCACAAGGGGUGAAGCCUGCGGUUCAAUUGGAGUCAACGCCAGGAACCUUACCCGGGGAGACAGCAGAAUGAAGGUCAAGCUGAAGACUUUACCAGACAAGCUGAGAGGAGCUGCAUGGCCGUCGCCAGCUCGUGCCGUGAGAUGUCCUGUUAAGUCAGGUAACGAGCGAGAUCCCUGCCUUUAGUUGCUACCAUUAUUCUCAGGAAUAGUGGGGCAAACUAGAGGGACUGCCAUCGUUAAGGUGGAGGAAGGAAGGGGCAACGGCAGGUCAGUAUGGCCCGAAACCCUGGGGCUACACGCGGGCUGCAAUGAUAGUGACAAUGAGUUUCGAAUCUGAAAGGAUGAGGUAAUCUUCNAACACUAUCUCAGUUAUGACUGAGGGCUGCAACUCGCCCUCACGAAUAUGGAAUCCCUAGUAACCGCGUGUCAUAACCGCGCAGUGAAUACGUCCCUGCUCCUUGCACACACCGCCCGUC